rnacentral:lncRNA from 1 species
AAAUCCAUAACCCUAUCUAUUGUGCUGUGCGGCUGUGCCUUCCUCCCCUUUUUUUCCCAUUUCCAAAAUCGACAGAGUCUUCCAGUACCGAUCCACCUCCACCAUCAAGACCUCCACCGAUCCACCUCCGGUCGGUUUGUUUAUUCCCGAAUCGCCAAGUAGAAGCAAGCAUACAAGAACGAGGAGUUUGGUACAGGUACGGGUUUGCUCAUCUUCUUCGGUUUCCUCGUUUUCAUUCUCUUUAUUAAAAACAACUGUUCUUUCAAUGAAUUUAUGCAUCAAAAUAGCAAUAACAUAAAUAUCAAAUGUAAAAUAAAACGCAUUAAAGCAUCAAAAACCUUACCUGAAAUGCAGACUAAAAUCAAGAGUAGAUAAUGCUAAGUUCCCACUUUCUGCAGAUUACCUACUCUUUUACCUCUCAAGAUGAUUCGCUUAAUUUUAGUUACAAAACAUACAGGCAUGAUGUGUUUUGUUUACUUAAUUUUUGUUUUAUGCAUGUAUUUAGUGGUUGAUACUAUGAAAAUAUUAGAGGGUAGAGUCAGUAGUGAUUCAUGUCAAUGGAGGAUAUUUAAUACAAUUCUUCCUUUUUCUUAGAAACAGUUUGAAUUAAAAAUGGAAAUCUAAUCUAACAUUCUUACUUCAUUUCUAAUUGCAGUUUUCUUUCAACUUCUUUCUACUGAAGUUACACACACUUCAUUUGGGGCAUCCUUUUGCUGAAUGUUAACCAAUGUUGACUAUUCUAGAACUAUACCACAUCGACAUAUAAGAAUGUUAAAUUAGAUAAAGCAAGUUCUGUGAAAUUAAUUACAGAUUGAAUUCACGUUAGAGGUUAGCUUUUUGGCUUCUUGAAUUGCGAAUUGGGUUUAGUUUAUUCCUUUAAAUAGGGUAACAUAUGCAGAUAACAUGUGCCAAUGCUCUGCAUGUAUUUUGUGUACAAUAUUCUGGUUGAAAUUAAGAAUGGUUACAUUCCCAUAUCAUGCCCCAACUUUUGGGUUUAAUUCAAUUAUGAAGAUUUUUCCAUUAUAAGGGUCUUAUUUUCUGUUUGUUUCUGUCUAAGUUUAUAGAAGUGUAUAAUAAAAGUGUUGUUGAAAUAUAUAUAUAUUCCUUUCCAUUUCUGUCUGUUAAUCUAUAAUAAAAGUUUAUAUGAAAUUUGUCAAUUAGCUUUCUGUUAAUCUAUGAUUCAAUCAAAUAAUUAAGUGGUAAAUGUUUGUUUAUAUGUUUAUAUCUGGAAAUAAAGUUCUCAGAAUUUUGGAAUUGCAUGGGACUCAAGUUUAAUGAAUUUAUUAUAAUGUUUACUAAGAUCACAAGCUUAGUUUAUUCAUUUAAUCUCAUCUUUUUUUUUGCUCUGUUUUAUUGCAGAAACAAUUGACAUUGAAAUCGAUUUGGCUUACCUUAGCUUCCUUUCCUGUAAGCUUCCAUUUACAUUUUCUUUUUACAAUUUAAUUUAAUUUGAUUUUCCUUUAUUUUACUUUGUACAACAUUUUGCAGAUUAGCAGAUUUUCCCGUAAGCUAAACUUGCUUAUCUACUAGUAGGAAAAUAAUGGGAUUGAGAAAUAAAGAUGCUUCUAUUUAAGAUUUUGGAUUGGAUUUAUGCAAUUUGAAUUUCAUUAAUUUAUUUUUUGGUACAUAUGUAAUUUAGCUUAUAGAAUAAGUAUGACUAUCUCAGUCAAUUGUUU